AGUACCCGCUGAACUUAAGCAUAUCAAUAAGCGGAGGAAAAGAAACCAACCGGGAUUGCCUUAGUAACGGCGAGUGAAGCGGCAAAAGCUCAAAUUUGAAAUCUGGUACCUUUGGUGCCCGAGUUGUAAUUUGGAGAGGGCAACUUUGGGACCGUUCCUUGUCUAUGUUCCUUGGAACAGGACGUCAUAGAGGGUGAGAAUCCCGUGUGGCGAGGAGUGCGGUUCUAUGUAAAGUGCCUUCGAAGAGUCGAGUUGUUUGGGAAUGCAGCUCUAAGUGGGUGGUAAAUUCCAUCUAAAGCUAAAUAUUGGCGAGAGACCGAUAGCGAACAAGUACAGUGAUGGAAAGAUGAAAAGAACUUUGAAAAGAGAGUGAAAAAGUACGUGAAAUUGUUGAAAGGGAAGGGCAUUUGAUCAGACAUGGUGUUUUGCGCCCUCUGCUCCUUGUGGGUGGGGGAAUCUCGCAGUUCACUGGGCCAGCAUCAGUUUUGGUGGCAGGAUAAAUCCGUAGGAAUGUAACUUGCUUCGGGAAGUAUUAUAGCCUAUGGGAAUACUGCCAGCUGGGACUGAGGACUGCGACGUAAGUCAAGGAUGCUGGCAUAAUGGUUAUAUGCCGCCCGUCUUGAAACACGGACCAAGGAGUCUAACGUCUAUGCAAG
rnacentral:rRNA from 1 species